rnacentral:lncRNA from 1 species
AAAAAUACUUAAGAAACAGAGACAGAAACACAGAGAUGCACACACACACACACACACACACACGCACGCACGCACGCACGCACGCACGCACGCACGCACACAGCAUUCCCAGAUGGUCCCGUUCAGCGGGAACGCCUGACUUCCUGUUUUCCCGGACUGCCUUACUUCCUCUUCUGUCUUCUGUCAGCAAUUCUACACCAUGGCUUCCUCCCCAUAAACUCAAUGCUCUGCGGGUCACUGAACGCGAGGCGUCCGGAGCACUUCUGAGUUGGAUCAGAGUCCAGUCAGGGGCUGGGCCCAAGGUUUGGGCUCCAGUUUUGGGGACACCACUCAGGCACAGCACUGCUGGAGUGGGGAGUGAACGCUAAUGACAUCCCCAAGAUCAUCUCUAAACAUCCUCCUCUGGCUUCUGCAAUUGUUCCAGCUUGAUUAUAACACCGUCUCAGAAGGAGAAAUGAAAGACAGUCUGCGUUUCUCAGGAAAACGAUCAAUGAAGGAAAACGAUCAAUGAAUCAAAUUUUGUGGUUUCAUUACUGGAAACCCCGUAGUAUAGAAAAUGUAAAAAAAAAAAAAAAAAAAAAAAAAAAAUCCCGUCCUUGAUCAAGUUGACCGGCUAAUUAACAAGACUUCCAAAUACCAUGCGGGCGGCGACAGCAACCCAAACAUUCAACCGUCCUUGGUCCCGCUAGCGGGCGGGGGUUUUCUUCUCUUCCAGGCCCGGCCUAGAAACUCAUAUUUUAUUCAUGAAAAUCUAGGCCCUGGGAGGCCUCGGCAUAAACAGGAUGUCCCUUCGUUCCCAUCUCCCCAGAUUCAAACCUGGGACUGGUUUUCUGAGAGGCUGAGGCAGGAGGGUCUCUGAGUUUGAAGCAAGCAUGGACAACUUGGUGAGACCCUGCCUUGAAAUAAAAUAUGAAAAGGGUUAGGGAUGGAGCUCAGUGCAAAAGCCCUGGGUUCAAUCCCCAGUAGCAGCGGG